rnacentral:lncRNA from 1 species
GUAACUCCCGUCACCCCUCUCCCAGAGCUAGGCAUGGAUGCCUGUCAUUAUUAAGAUCAGGAAGCAGGAUCCAGGGUAUAAAUGAUGCCACAGUUGCAAGGAAUAAUGGGUGAUAAGUUGCUGUCCAGGCAGCAUAAAUGCUCCAGGAACAUGCCACCCAUGGUUACAUGUAGCUACUGAAUCUGAAUGAAGGCAGUUCCACUAUACUUUGCGGCUUUGGCAUGGCUUCUCCAGUCCUCAGAACCGUCGGCAGUUCCUGCAACAUAAUAAUUGUUCAACAAAUGCUAUCUAAACUUUCCCCUACUCCAGUUCCCUCACUUUCCAGAUGA